GAUGAAGAACGUAGCGAAAUGCGAUAAGUAGUGUGAAUUGCAGAAUUCAGUGAAUCAUCGAAUCUUUGAACGCACAUUGCGCCCCCUGGCAUUCCGGGGGGCAUGCCUGUCCGAGCGUCAUUUCUGCCCUCAAGCCCGGCUUGUGUGUUGGGCGUGGUCCCCCCGGUUUAGGGGGGACCUGCCCGAAAGGCAGCGGCGACGUUCCGCCUAGGUCCUCGAGCGUAUGGGGCUUUGUCACCCGCUCGGGAGGGGCCUACGGGCGUUGGCCAUCCACCAUUUAUUUUUUUUACGGUUGACCUCGGAUCAGGUAGGAGUUACCCGCUGAACUUAAGCAUAUCAAUAAGCGGAGGA
rnacentral:misc_RNA from 1 species